AGUGAACGCUGGCGGUAGGCCUAACACAUGCAAGUCGAACGGCAGCACAGUAAGAGCUUGCUCUUACGGGUGGCGAGUGGCGGACGGGUGAGGAAUACAUCGGAAUCUACUUUUUCGUGGGGGAUAACGUAGGGAAACUUACGCUAAUACCGCAUACGACCUACGGGUGAAAGCAGGGGAUCUUCGGACCUUGCGCGAUUGAAUGAGCCGAUGUCGGAUUAGCUAGUUGGCGGGGUAAAGGCCCACCAAGGCGACGAUCCGUAGCUGGUCUGAGAGGAUGAUCAGCCACACUGGAACUGAGACACGGUCCAGACUCCUACGGGAGGCAGCAGUGGGGAAUAUUGGACAAUGGGCGCAAGCCUGAUCCAGCCAUACCGCGUGGGUGAAGAAGGCCUUCGGGUUGUAAAGCCCUUUUGUUGGGAAAGAAAAGCAGCAGGCUAAUACCCCGCUGCUCUGACGGUACCCAAAGAAUAAGCACCGGCUAACUUCGUG
rnacentral:rRNA from 1 species